rnacentral:pre_miRNA from 1 species
GAACUACUCCCUCCGUUCGGAAUUAUUUGUCGCAGAAAUGAAUGUAUCUAGACGUAUUUUAGUUCUAGAUACAUCCAUUUCCGAGACAAGUAAUUCCGAACGGAGGGAGUAUAGA